CUGGGAGUGGCUACCAAGGCCACGCAGAUGCCAGGGCACGGGCCUGUGUCAGGCAGCGUCACAGCGUCUCCAGGCAGCGGUGUGCAAGCUGAUCCCACCCUGGCCUUGCUGGGGAGCCAAGGGGAGAGGAAAGCAGCUGUGGCAGGCACUUCCGGACCCAGGUCCUAUUGGGUCAGAGAAGCCGAACCCCUGGGAAGAGAUGGUCACCACCUAGUGGUGUACAGUGGAGCGAGAGGCCUGCGCGAGCUGAAGGUAUGGGAGGGCCCACGGGAGGAAGCCAAGAGGGGUGGGGAGGAGCGCGUGGAAUGUGUGGGGUGCAAGCGUGGGCCCGGCAGGGGGCAGAAGGGGCAGGCUGUGGGCGGAGCUCAUGGGAGGAAGCAAGUCCGGUGAAGUCGAGCAAAUGCAGAAUGGGCUGGAAGGAGCCGAGCGCAGGAGGAGAGGAUCAGUCCGAGCCGAAGUGAAAAGAGUGGAGCCCGGAGAACGGGGCAGCGCUCCUGGGGGGAGCCCACGGGCUUGGGUGGAGCUGAGCCGGCGAGAAGAAGGCGGAGAGGGUGGGGUGCAUUUUCCAUCUCCAGAGUGGCGGAGGUUAGACUUCCUCGGGCUGCACCCUUUGACAUGCAGGGGAAAAGCAGGGCCGCCGGACGCCACUGGGAGAGCUGCAGCCGCAGAAGAGACUUAUUUCCACUCGAGGCCUCAUUUUCCGUGUUUGUAAACAAUGAAGGGAGGCAAAAGCCCUGGUCUGCCCAGCUCGCUUGAGCCUUUGUUCAGGGACCUUUCACUGUAUCGGUGUGCUGGAGGCUGCCUCCUCCGCUGGAGCCCCUAACCCUACCCUAACCCGCACACUUGAGCUGCUCAGGGCCCCAGAGGCCACCUUAUUUCCACCCAAAGCCUGGGCCCUGGAAGGAUCAUAAAUAUGGAGGUGGCCUUUUCUGGUGCCAAGGCAACCUCAGGAGCCGCUCGGCCUGGUGAGAAGCUGAAUACAACCUCUUUAUUCCCUCAGAGACAGCCUGUGGAGAGAGGCAGAGGUUCUGUACGGUGACAGUACGAUCAGAGAGAAUCCCCUCCUUUUUUUUUUUUUUUNNNNNNNNNNNNNNNNNNNNNNNNNNNNNNNNNNNNNNNNNNNNNNNNNNUUUUUUUUUUUUUUUUUUGGUACAGGGGAUCAAACUCUGCCCUUGUGCUUGCGAGGCAGGCAGCGGAACCACUGAGCCACAUCCCCAGCCCGCUGUCCUUAUCCUUUUAAAUAAAAACUACCACCUACCAAGCACUGUUCUAGACCACAGAGAUAAAGGACAGGAGUCUCUGCUCCUGUUGCAGUAGGCAGCUGCUGUCGCGCGGUCUGGGCCAAGAACUGAGGCAGCAAACAGGCCCGGAACAGACUCCUCAGAUAUCUGAUGUGUGGUCACCAUCCAUCGUUACAUCCCCACUGCUGAAUUACUGUAAGCUACACCGCUGAUCACACCACUUUGCUGCCAAUACGCCUUUUCUGCCUAUGGGCGAACAGCAGCGUUCCCUUGCUCGCUUCUCCAGCGGUGUCUCCUCCUCAUCCCUCCUCCAAAAUUUCAAAAACCGGUUUAAAGGACUGGGCUACACAUCAGCCACUAGAUGGCGCCAAAAUUGUACUGAAGCCCUGGCCUAAUGGCUGCCGGGAAGCCCUUCAGCCCUCGUGAGCCGCCUGUGUUUUUAGGACACUUAGUGAAUUAUGUAGAAGAGGAGGUUUAUUACACUGUCCGUCUAGUGUUUCACCGCCGUCGUCUCUGUGAAGAGCAAGCCACGGGGUUUCCUUCAAAAGCCAGGUAAGGGUCUGAGUUCACUCGUGGCCUGGUCCUAACAGCGGUUGUGGCUGGAGUGCUGAAGGGAACUUUGCCGAGGUGGGAGGCAUUUUCUUCUCUUUGACAGGUGCUGAUUGUCAUAAACCGAGAAACAGAACCCAGUGUGAGAGGAUUUUUGCAAAAGGGAGAGGGACCAGGGGAUGACAGAAGACGGAAGAAAGGAAGGGAAGGGGAUAAAAGCAAAAGUUAGACCUGUUAUGAGCAGGUACCAAUGCCCCAUGGGGAGUGCAAUCGUGAACUACAAGCUUGGACUAAAUAAAAAAUAAAAACAGGGGAAAAAGUCCUGUUUUUUUCUAACCACG
rnacentral:lncRNA from 1 species